CUACGUGCCAGCAGCCGCGGUAAUACGUAGGGUGCGAGCGUUAAUCGGAAUUACUGGGCGUAAAGCGGGCGCAGACGGUUACUUAAGCAGGAUGUGAAAUCCCCGGGCUUAACCUGGGAACUGCGUUCUGAACUGGGUAGCUAGAGUAUGUCAGAGGGGGGUAGAAUUCCACGUGUAGCAGUGAAAUGCGUAGAGAUGUGGAGGAAUACCGAUGGCGAAGGCAGCCCCCUGGGAUAAUACUGACGUUCAUGCCCGAAAGCGUGGGUAGCAAACAGGAUUAGAUACCCUGGUAGUCCACGCCCUAAACGAUGUCGAUUAGCUGUUGGGCAACUUGAUUGCUUAGUAGCGAAGCUAACGCGUGAAAUCGACCGCCUGGGGAGUACGGUCGCAAGAUUAAAACUCAAAGGAAUUGACGGGGACCCGCACAAGCGGUGGAUGAUGUGGAUUAAUUCGAUGCAACGCGAAGAACCUUACCUGGUCUUGACAU
rnacentral:rRNA from 1 species